GCCCCGGUAAACGGCGGCCGUAACUAUAACGGUCCUAAGGUAGCGAAAUUCCUUGUCGGGUAAGUUCCGACCUGCACGAAUGGCGUAAUGAUGGCCAGGCUGUCUCCACCCGAGACUCAGUGAAAUUGAACUCGCUGUGAAGAUGCAGUGUACCCGCGGCAAGACGGAAAGACCCCGUGAACCUUUACUAUAGCUUGACACUGAACAUUGAGCCUUGAUGUGUAGGAUAGGUGGGAGGCUUUGAAGUGUGGACGCCAGUCUGCAUGGAGCCGACCUUGAAAUACCACCCUUUAAUGUUUGAUGUUCUAACGUUGGCCCGUAAUCCGGGUUGCGGACAGUGUCUGGUGGGUAGUUUGACUGGGGCGGUCUCCUCCUAAAGAGUAACGGAGGAGCACGAAGGUUGGCUAAUCCUGGUCGGACAUCAGGAGGUUAGUGCAAUGGCAUAAGCCAGCUUGACUGCGAGCGUGACGGCGCGAGCAGGUGCGAAAGCAGGUCAUAGUGAUCCGGUGGUUCUGAAUGGAAGGGCCAUCGCUCAACGGAUAAAAGGUACUCCGGGGAUAACAGGCUGAUACCGCCCAAGAGUUCAUAUCGACGGCGGUGUUUGGCACCUCGAUGUCGGCUCAUCACAUCCUGGGGCUGAAGUAGGUCCCAAGGGUAUGGCUGUUCGCCAUUUAAAGUGGUACGCGAGCUGGGUUUAGAACGUCGUGAGACAGUUCGGUCCCUAUCUGCCGUGGGCGCUGGAGAACUGAGGGGGGCUGCUCCUAGUACGAGAGGACCGGAGUGGACGCAUCACUGGUGUUCGGGUUGUCAUGCCAAUGGCACUGCCCGGUAGCUAAAUGCGGAAGAGAUAAGUGCUGAAAGCAUCUAAGCACGAAACUUGCCCCGAGAUGAGUUCUCC
rnacentral:rRNA from 1 species